UACGGAGGGAGCUAGCGUUGUUCGGAAUUACUGGGCGUAAAGCGCGCGUAGGCGGCUUUGUAAGUUAGAGGUGAAAGCCCGGGGCUCAACCCCCGGAAUUGCCUUUAAGACUGCAUCGCUUGAAUCCGGGAGAGGUGAGUGGAAUUCCGAGUGUAGAGGUGAAAUUCGUAGAUAUUCGGAAGAACACCAGUGGCGAAAGGCGGCUCAC
rnacentral:rRNA from 1 species